UACGUGGGGGGCAAGCGUUGUUCGGAAUUAUUGGGCGUAAAGGGCGCGUAGGCGGUGCGGCAAGUCUUCUGUGAAAUCUCCGGGCUCAACCUGGGAACUGCAUCUGUGACUGCAUCGCUGGAGUGCGGCAGAGGGGGAUGGAAUUCCGCGUGUAGCAGUGAAAUGCGUAGAUAUGCGGAGGAACACCGAUGGCGAAGGCAACCCCCUGGGCCGGCACUGACGCUCAGGCACGAAAGCGUGGGGAGCAAACAGG
rnacentral:rRNA from 1 species